rnacentral:rRNA from 1 species
CCUACGGGAGGCAGCAGUAGGGAAUCUUCCACAAUGGGCGAAAGCCUGAUGGAGCAACGCCGCAUGGGUGAAGAAGGUCUUCGGAUCGUAAAACCCUGUUGUUAGAGAAGAAAGUGCGUGAGAGUAACUGUUCACGUUUCGACGGUAUCUAACCAGAAAGCCAAGGCUAACUACGUGACAGCAGCCGCGGUAAUACGUAGGUGGCAAGCGUUAUCCGGAUUUAUUGGGCGUAAAGGGAACGCAGGUGGUCUUUUAAGUCUGAUGUGAAAGCCUUCGGCUUAACCGGAGUAGUGCAUUGGAGACUGGGAGACUUGAGUGCAGAAGAGGAGAGUGGAACUCCAUGUGUAGCGGUGAAAUGCGUAGAUAUAUGGGAGAACACCAGUGGCGAAAGCGGCUCUCUGGUCUGUAACUGACGCUGAGGUUCGAAAGCGUGGGUAGCAAACAGGAUUAGAUACCCUUGUAGUC